CAAAGAAUUUAUUUACAUAUCUGAUUGUACAUUACAGCUACCUGAAGGAUUCACAUCAGCAGGGACAGUUUUAUUGUCCCCAAAAAGUAUUUCAAGAAAAUACAGAGAAAAUAGUGUAAUGGCACAUUGCAACAGUACUGACAUCACUUCACUGAUGUUAUAAAUUACAGAAUGAGAUUUAAAAUAGUCAUAUGCCACUUCUGCUGGCUGCUUUUUUUCAGUAACAAUGGAGCAAGUGAACUUUGCUCAUUUUCAUACCAAGCAGCCUUUGAAAUAAAAAAUAAAACCACUCCUUGCUUCUAUGGCAGCUUCCUAUUCUGUGAAAUAGGUGUCAAAUUCAGUAAAAAAAUUUCUGCUCUGUGAGAGUGGAACAUAUUCUUUUACAGAUAAAAACUUUGUUUUUUAAAGAUUUAGGGGAUAUUGAUGAUUUUUUUCCUUCAGACUUACCACAGUUUAUUAUCUCACUCUCUGGGGGCUGGUGAGUGGGGUAUUGAUAAACAAGGUGUGAGAGAGGGAACAAUUGUAGGAUCUCAUCACAUGAGCAGGGUCAACACUCCAGAAAUGAAACCACCAGCUCGAGAAGAGGUUGGAAGGAGGGAAGGACACUUCUAGCACCAGGGCCCUCGUUGCCACUUACAGAUGCCCAGGCUCACAAAGCACCUGCACAGCUUCCCAAAUGCUGUGGGAGAGUGCUGUGCUACAAACCCCAAGGGAAAGAGUUUGUUCAGCAUCUGCCAAAAUGUGAAGAGCAAGACACGCAACCUCUCACAUCUGCAAGAGGAAUGCAGACCCAGGUCUGUCCUUAGGAAACGCUGCCACAGAAGCCAGGCAGGGAAGACAAGGAGUAACUAAAGCAUUUUAGGCACUCUAAGACGGAGAGUCUAUCAAUUGGUAAUGCUAUUUCUUUUUCCAUUUCAAUGGUCAAAGUAAAUCACUUGCCUGAUCCCACAAAAAUAAUCCCAGAACAGAAAUUAACCUGAAAUGAGCAAUGUGUUCAAAUGAGGUUUUGGUCUGGUGCCCAUUUCAAGUAUAAAAGGAAGCAAAUUUGCUUUAAUGGAAAUAAAAACUAUAAUCACCAAGUCAGGACUGUAACAUUUAAUUAAGUGUUUUAUUAUUUUGAAUUAACUUAAGCCAACAAGUGGGUCUCAAAACAAUACUAAAACAAUAAAUCUGCAGAAUGUGUGUGACAUUGCCUUACAAGAGACCAACCAUCUGACACAACAUUCCUAAAAGAAGACAAAGAACUGCUAAUUAUGUUAAAUUUCAUUUGCUACGUAAUUUAGACCAUGACCUAGUGCUUCUAAAAAAACCUGUACAAAAUGAAUAUUUUUUACAUCUCAGAGGCACAUGAAUACAAAUCUGAUCUAUUUUAUAUAUACACAUGUACAUUACAAGAAACCAGAUGAUUAAAGAAGUGUAUAUAAAAAGUGUCCAAAACCAGAUGAUAAAAUGUGAAAAUAAAAUGUAUCUUCACAAGAGAGAAGUAAAAGGCACAAGUACUAAAAUAUGUAACCAUGCAAAAAAAGUGACUAGUCUGUGCAACAGAGAAAAACAAAUGGCUCUCACAACGGAUUUUACAGUAAUUCUCAAAAUGUCUCAGCAUUUAAAUAUAUAUCAGUGCAACAUUUACUGCCCUGUAGUGUACUGAAGUAUUCACAGGAUACUAAAUUCUUGGUUCUCCUUCUGAUGUCCUUUCUCCAAAGUCAGAAUAAUUUAGCUAUGGAUAAAGUAGUAAAUAAAUCAGGGCUGAUGCUGGGGAGUGUGAGUUCCUCACUGGGAGGAGGAGUGUCUGCAGCCCCCUUAGCCCUGCACAGAUGUGUCCCCCAGAACAGUGACAGCAGAGCCGACAGCUCAGGUGGCACAGCUGCUCCACUCACAGCACCUCCAUUCCAGGGCUAAGCUGUCCAAAUUACAUGCAGAAGGCCAUGUUUGCUAAUGUUUUCAUUAGGUUUAAAGUUUAAGUAAAAACGAAUCAGUCUAACAGUGUGUUUGAGCAGGUCCUGCUCUUGCAGCCGAACAGAAGCCCCAGUGAAGGCAGCAAGCUGAAGCGCAGAGAACACCAGGAGCCGUCAGCUGGCUCCACACUGUGGCAAGCUGUGGUAGCCCUGCCUGCAGACGGUGCCUGCAGAUCCUCAGGGGCUGCUGCUGUGAGCUCUGCCCUGUGCUGGCCACGCUGAGCUGCAGCCUGAGCCUCCAGAGCGUCAGCAGAGCGUGCAGUGGGACAGCUGCACAGACCGAGGCACAUCCCAGGAUCCCUCCCCUGGAUCACCUACUCACCCUACCUGCUUGUAUGCCAUGAGAACCAGCUACAACGUUUUGUCACGUACAUGGGACACAACCACAAAAAAGGCAAGGACAGGACUGGCCUGGUAUAAAGACAGGACUGAAAUUCUUGCCUUGGUAGCUAAGGUCACCCUGAAGCCAAGAAUAUUGAAUUUGUCCCUCCCAUCUGCUCAAAGUUCUGCCCCAAGGCACACACUCAGUGGUAGCUGGGGAAAAGACCAAGAAUGUAAAUGUCAACAGAAUGCUGAGGCCCCAGAAAGAAACAACUCUCUUGCACAUCAGACCAACUCCCAGUGCACUAUGCAGAAUGACAGGAUUCAGACCCAGCACUGACUGCAAUCUUCAUCAAACUCUAAAGCUACAUGCAGAGUUUCAUUAACUAGAAACCUAUGCAUGAUUUAACAGCAAACUGCUCCUAGGAUCAUUAUUUUGAAUUCAAAAAUACUGAGAUGCAAAGGAACAAAAUGUCAGAACUGUGGUACUAUGUUGUCUAAAACCAACCAGUCAUGACUUCUUGACAGUAUUUCUUGAUUAACAAAUGACUUGACAUGAAUAUGAGCAUUGCUGCUUACAGCAGGAGCUGCUCAGUUAAAGUCUGAGUCAAGUUUUUACUUAAAUCAGUAUAAGCCAAGCCACUGAUUUGGCAAGUGUUUGAUCAGCUGCUACUUCCUUCCUUCCUUGGAAAAAAAUCCCUCAGACCACACCAUACAGUAUUUGUUUUAAGAGAAAACCACUGCAUAUUCACUGCCAUUAAAGAAUGUAAAAACCCCAUUAUUUUAUUUGUAAAUUCUAGUUUUUAGACUCAUCACAUGUCACGGGCACUGUGAUGCACAGACCAGUGAGCAGUGCCUCAUGUAGAGCCCACAAUGUGUGUUUAUACAUCAGCUCCAAGCCCUCAUUUCCAAGCCAGAUUAGGGAGCCUAAAUACUGUCGGUCUAGAUCCUCUCUGGAGAGCAAUGCAGUUCUACCAAAGUAAAUGGAGCAUUGCUGCACUCAGACAGAAAAAUAUUUGUUGAUACACAUCUUUGAGAAUUAAUAAUGCUGUGUUCAACUCCCUACAGAGCUGGCUGAGAACUAUCUGAAUUUUUUCCCAAAGACCGUGAAAGGAAAGUUGGCAACAAAAGUUCAUUGCAUGCUGGGUUUCUUUGAAACUUCCUACACAUUUGCAUAUUUAAAAUUCCUUUAAAAUAGAUGGGAUAGUUACAGUUCAUCAAUGUUGCAUUUAAAGAAAAAUUCUUUAACAGCUUCAGUCUUAAACAGAAGCUAUUCAAAAAGCUGAAAAAUUGUCUUUUGAUAUCAAAGCAGUUUUGAUUCAGCAUCAUUCUGAAAUCAGAACUAGGCAGCAGCUGAAGACUGGAGUCUGGAGGGAAGCAGCCAAUACCAGAAAAAAAAUUGAGAGACUACAUUUCAGGUACUCUUUAAGUGCAAGUUUUGAAAGAGGUAAUUUUUCUGCAGUACCUUGUGUGGGAUUAGCAGCUUCUAGCCAAAAGCCAGUCUUUUUUUUUCCACUGUCCAGAAAUACCUGUAGUGGUUUGCAACAGGUUUGUCCAGAAUAUCAUUUAGCUUUUCAGAAUCUAAGGUCAAAUGAACCAAGGAACAGAUCAAGAUACAGUAACUGGGAUUGUUUGCAUUCCCAAGGGUUAAAUGUAACCUUGGGUUUGACACAGGAGUGUUCACUGCAUCUGUGUAUUGCUAGAAGAUGAUACCACGUUUCUGUGUCUGCAGUGAUUUACGAAGGGAAGGGAGGCCCUUGUUCCACCAACAGUAACACUGACAGAGGCAGGCUGUACUUUUCUGGCCAGCCUGAGAGAACAAAGGAUGUCCACAGCAAAGAAGUAAGAAAUUUAUCAGAGAACAGACAGCAAAGUUGUUGCAAUUGGGGAGACACUAUCUCCUGUCUGUUCUGCCAGUGUCUGACACUUGAUCAAAUUAUGCACUCUCUGCAACACUGGUAUCAGAUUACUCUUCUCCCUGCCCCAGUGAGCCAUCAAGUGAUCCUUUAUUACCAAAUUACCUGCAUGUCAUAAAACACAAUGACUUCUUUUCUGGGAUAAAAGGGUUCUCCAGGGCUUGAAUUGCAAGAUGAGUUGGUCUAAUAUCUGCAGUUACUCAGUCUAAGAAUGCAAUUGCUAAUUAGUAUUUUUAGAGGUGGAUACCUUAGAGGAAAAUAUAUCUGCCAGUGAAAUGCCUCUCCCACCUCCAACUCACAUUAUUUGUCAAACACAGUAAGUAUCUGGAUAUGAUUUCCACAGUAACAGAUGGCAGUACCACACCAAGGGCCCCACAGGAGCAGAUACCUCCUUUACACAAUAAAACACGGCUACAAACACCACCAACAUGGUGGUAAGACAUCUCUUCAAAUGCAAACACUGGAGCAAGGAAGAGUUUCUAAAUACUUACACAGCUGGGUACAGAGCUGAACAAGAAGUCCUGCAAGUUUUAAGAAAUUUCCACUGCUGAGUACCCUUGGCUAGAACAUUCCUUUUGGGAUAUCAGCCAGAUUCAGUGACUACAUGUCACUACUAGUGACUGUUCACCUCCUACAUACAACAAUCACAAAAACUGCACAAAAACUUGGCUUUCUUUAUAGUAAUGUCUUCUGUUCAAGUCCACAGGCUUUGCUUUCAGUGCAACAGUCCUCAACAUUUGCUGAUGUUCCACCCUAAUGGGAAUGGGCUUUAGAUCACAGAAAUUUUGAAGCAGAGUCCAAUUUACUUAAAAAUAAUUAUGGGAAAACAUUCAGUCACCAGCCUCAGCUGCAACAGCUUCACUCUAACUGAAAUCCACUGCAUGAGAGCAGGACAGCAGUGCAACACAGCCAGCUCCAGAAGCAGGGCUGCUGUGUCACCCAGCCCUGCUGGUCACAACAGGUUUGCAACAACCUCCUGACAGUGCAGAAGAGUUCUCUGUGGCCUGCAAAAAGAAUAAAGUCUCUGGCACUACCCACAAAGAGCACCAGGCAGAGGGAAAUGCCACCACUGAAGUGCAAGUGAGGAGUCCUGCAGGCAGGAAGCACCGAGCUCGCUGAACUGUUCCUCUCCCACCUUCUGGGCAGCACAUCCAGAAGCAGCAGCAGGUGGGAAAGGUGGAUGUGUGGGCUUUCCAUGGGGUUCCACCUACUUUCUAAACAAACAGAAGCUGCUGCAGUGUUGCAUCUUACACCAUUCCCAGGUAAUUUCCUCCAACUACCCCAGAGCCUCAGGAAGCCAGCCCUGUGUUUGAACCAGCCUGUCCCACUUCUCCCAGAGCACUGCAACCUUUGUGCACUGGGUGUUGUGUCCCCCAGUCAUUCCUCUGGUUCCUCUCUCUU